UUCAUAUUUUCGUCUACUCUUCUUUGUCUAUAAUUUUUUUUUUUUUUUAUUUGUAUAGCUUACAGCUUAUAAUAACAACAGAUAACUAAUACAGAAUAGGAGUCAGUAAAAGUUAAUAACAAGCUACCACAUAUUGGAACUAAUGCUGCUUAUUUCUAAAAAUAAUAAAUAACUAAUAUUUAAAAAUUAAAAAAAAAAGAAUUAAGGUUACAAUUUGUUGUAGUUUUUCGUACAAAUACGCAAUACAGGUAAUUUUUAUUGUACUUCAAAUACCAACAAGUAUAGACGAAAAACAAUUUUCGGGGUGGAAGUAAGUACAAGAGACAACCUUAUUGAUAAAGCAGUAAUAUCUUCCAGGGUGGGCGUAACCAGUUUUUUUUUAAAGUGGGACAAAACAUAGUGGUAGAAAAUAUAAAAUUCAUAUUUACUACAAAUUUUCAUUUAUUAUCACUAUUUAUACUACAGCUCUGGUGUAGUUGUGCGAAUAAGCGUCUAAAACACCAACGCUUUGCGGGUUCGAUAUUUGUAACUAUACAAAUAUUUUUCCUAUUUGGAUAUCUUGUGGGUCUCCCCACCAUGCUUCGGAGAGCACGUUUAGCCGACGGUACCGGUUGUUGUCAUAAAUACCUGAUAGCGAUCGUCACUCAUAGUAGGGAACAAUCCGCCAACUCACAGUGGAGCAGCGUGGUGGAUUAAGCUCAAAUUCUUCUCCUACAUAGAGAAAGAAGCCUGUGCCCAAUUAGGAUAUUACAGGCUAAAUGCGAGUACAGCUUACAAAGUACCGCCUUUGUACAUCUUUCUUUGUAUGUUUCUACUAUUGUUACGUUUCUUUAUGGUGUACAAUAAAGAGUAUUCAUUCAUUCAUUCAU
rnacentral:misc_RNA from 1 species